CUGGGACAAUGUUUUCCCGGGGGCACACAUGUUAGAGGUUGUUGAUUUUUACGCACAAUAGAAAAAGCAGCUUAAAACCAGCAUUUUUAAAAAUCCAGAAAUACAUCAGGAUAAGCUAGAAUUCGCAUCACAAAUCCCAAUUUGUAUGUGGAGUGGGUCCAAGGAUCUCGAAUGGACUUCAGGGGCAGGACUUCCAUUUUCUGAAGGAAGUCUUCUUCCCUUUUAUAGCUUCCCUGACUCUACUUGUUAGCAGUGCUGGCAUCCUCCUGAAGUUGGUGGUACCUUUCCUCCUUCUUGGUAUACACGGCUUUUUCUCAUGAAAGGCAGAGCAAGAUAUUAUUCAUCCUUCAGGUCAGACUCUAAUGUAUUUAUUUAUUUUCUAUACCACCCCAUCCAAGAGCUCUGGCGGUGCACAACAAGUAAAUAACAAAAACACAGAAUCAAUAAAAUAUGAUUAAAAAACUUCUAAAGUUAAGUCCACCGUGCAACCUGCAAAACAUACAAGAAAAAGAAGUCAGAUUCAGAGAGCAUAUCUGCAGCAGAGACUCCACUGAUUUAACAGUCUUACCUUUCCCCCAUAAGCCACAAUCUAAGAAUACCUUUACUAAGGUAUUGCUAAUAAAUAAUAAAAAUAAUAAAUAAUACACAAAAUCUUGAGCAGCAGCUUUUGAGUUCUUCAGAACUUUUCUGGAUGGUAAGAAAAGUACAAAAGAGGAGAGAAGCUGGGUCUGGUAAAAUGGCCACCCAGUCUGUAUUUCUCCCCUGGGCAAUCCUGGGAGCUGUAGUUCUGUGGGGUGGGGCAAGGCAUCUCUGAGAGAGAAGUCAUAUUAGCCUCAUGAAACUAGGGUUUGGGGGUAUUACCAGACCCGGCUCUGCUUUUGGACACUCAGGUGGAGGCGGUGGCCAGGGGUGCCUUUGCAUGGAUUCAGCUAGUGCGCCAGUUGUGUCCCUUUCUCGAGAAAGCAGAUCUGGCCACAGUUACCCAUGCCUUAGCUGGAUUACUUAACACGCUCUACGUGGAGCUGCCCUUUAUCAGGAAAUUGCAGCUAGUGCAAAAUACGGCAGCUUGGGUUUUAUCUGGAGCUGCCUGGUGGGAGCAUGUCACACCCAUUAUGAAAGAGCUGCACUGGCUACCAGUUUGUUUCCGGGUCCAAUUCAAGGUGCUGGUUUUGACCUUUAAAGCCCUUAAUGGUUUGGGCCUGGGAUACCUGAGAGACCGCCU